AAACGAAAAUAGCAAACUUGUCGAAAGAGAAGGACGCAAAGCCACGGGCCUAAGGACGACUAUGGCAGCCGGGUUGCCGAA
rnacentral:ncRNA from 1 species